rnacentral:tRNA from 1 species
GGAUUGUGGCUCAGUGGUAGAGCGCUCGCCUAGCAUGUGUGAGGUCCUGGGUUCAAUCCUCAGCACCA